rnacentral:rRNA from 1 species
AGAGCAAAUGGUGGAUGCCUUGGCUAGUAGAGGCGAUGAAAGACGUGCCAGGCUGCGAUAAGUCUCGGGGAGCCGUCAAGGGGCUUUGAUCCGGGAAUUUCUGAAUGGGGCAACCCAGUAUAUAGUGAUAUAUACUACCGCAAUGCGGAGCGAACGUUGGGAAUUGAAACAUCUUAGUACCAACAGGAAAAGAAAUCAAACGAGAUUACGCUAGUAGCGGCGAGCGAAAGCGUAAGAGGGCAAACCACUAGCUUGCUAGUGGGGUUGUAGGACUGCAAUAUAGACUUAAACAAUCUAAUAGAAUAAGUUGGAAAGCUUAAGCAUAGAGGGUGAUACUCCCGUAUAUGAAAGUGCGUUUAUGCUUAGCAGUAUCCUGAGUAGGGCGGGACACGUGUAAUCCUGUCUGAAGCUGGGUAGACCACUAUCCAACCCUAAAUACUACUACUAGACCGAUAGUGCACAAGUACCGUGAGGGAAAGGUGAAAAGAACUGAGGUGAUCAGAGUGAAAUAGAACCUGAAACCAUUUGCUUACAAUCAUUCAGAGCCCUAUGAUUUAUCAGGGUGAUGGACUGCCUUUUGCAUAAUGAGCCUGCGAGUUGUGGUGUCUGGCGAGGUUAAGGAAACCCGGAGCCGUAGCGAAAGCGAGUCUUAAUAGGGCGUAUAGUCAGAUGCUGCAGACCCGAAACGAUGUGAUCUAUCCAUGAGCAGGUUGAAACUGGUGUAAGAGCCAGUGGAGGACCGAACAGACGGCCGUUGAAAAGGCUCCUGAUGACUUGUGGAUAGGGGUGAAAGGCCAAUCAAACAUCGUGAUAGCUGGUUCUCUCCGAAAUAUAUUUAGGUAUAGCGUUGUGUAGUAACUUUGUGAGGUAGAGCACUGAAUGGGCUAGGGCAUACACCAAUGUACCAAACCCUAUCAAACUCCGAAUGCGCAAAGUGUAAUCACAGCAGUCAGGCGGCGAGUGAUAAAAUCCGUCGUCGAGAGGGGAACAACCCAGACUAACAGCUAAGGUCCCUAAAUCUCAUUUAAGUGGAAAACGAUGUGGAGUUACUGAAACAACCAGGAGGUUGGCUUAGAAGCAGCCAUCCUUUAAAGAAAGCGUAAUAGCUCACUGGUCUAGUGAUUCUGCGCGGAAAAUAUAACGGGGCUAAAAUGAGUACCGAAGCUUUAGACUUAGUUUUUAACUAAGUGGUAGGAGAGCGUUCUAUUCAGCGUUGAAGGUAUACCGGUAAGGAGUGCUGGAGCGGAUAGAAGUGAGCAUGCAGGCAUGAGUAGCGAUAAAAGGGGUGAGAAUCCCCUUCGCCGUAAACCCAAGGUUUCCUACGCGAUGCUCGUCAUCGUAGGGUUAGUCGGGUCCUAAGCAAAGUCCGAAAGGGGUAUGCGAUGGAAAAUUGGUUAAUAUUCCAAUACCAAUUAUUAUGUGCGAUGGAAGGACGCUUAAAGUUAAUGGAGCUAGCGGAUGGAAGUGCUAGUCUAAGGGCGUAGGUUGAGUUAUAGGCAAAUCCGUAACUCUUUAUCCGAGACCUCAAAGGCUCUUGACGCUCUUCGGAGUAGAUGGAGAAUCCAUGAUACUAUCGAGCCAAGAAAAGUUUCUAAGUUUAGUAAUAAUUGCCCGUACCGUAAACCGACACAGGUGGGUGGGAUGAGUAUUCUAAGGCGCGUGGAAGAACUCUCUUUAAGGAACUCUGCAAAAUAGCACCGUAUCUUCGGUAUAAGGUGUGCCUAACUUUGUAUUAAGAUUUACUCCCAAAGCAAAGAAGGUUACAACAAAGAGUCCCUCCCGACUGUUUACCAUAAACACAGCACUCUGCUAACUCGUAAGAGGAUGUAUAGGGUGUGACGCCUGCCCGGUGCUCGAAGGUUAAUUGAUGGGGUUAGCAUUAGCGAAGCUCUUGAUCGAAGCCCGAGUAAACGGCGGCCGUAACUAUAACGGUCCUAAGGUAGCGAAAUUCCUUGUCGGUUAAAUACCGACCUGCAUGAAUGGCGUAACGAGAUGGGAGCUGUCUCAAAGAGGGAUCCAGUGAAAUUGUAGUGGAGGUGAAAAUUCCUCCUACCCGCGGCAAGACGGAAAGACCCCGUGGACCUUUACUACAGCUUGACACUGCUAUUUGGAUAAAGAUGCGCAGGAUAGGUGGGAGGCUUUGAUCCAUAGACUCUGGUUUAUGGUGAGCCAUUGUUGAGAUACCACUCUUCUUUAUUUGGGUAGCUAACUAGCCUAAGUUAUCCUUAGGUAGGACAAUGUCUGGUGGGUAGUUUGACUGGGGCGGUCGCCUCCCAAAGUGUAACGGAGGCUUACAAAGGUUGGCUCAGAACGGUUGGAAAUCGUUCGUAGAGUAUAAAGGCAUAAGCCAGCUUAACUGCGAGACGUACAUGUCAAGCAGAGACGAAAGUCGGUCUUAGUGAUCCGGUGGUUCUGUGUGGAAGGGCCAUCGCUCAAAGGAUAAAAGGUACCCCGGGGAUAACAGGCUGAUCUCCCCCAAGAGCUCACAUCGACGGGGAGGUUUGGCACCUCGAUGUCGGCUCAUCGCAUCCUGGGGCUGGAGCAGGUCCCAAGGGUAUGGCUGUUCGCCAUUUAAAGCGGUACGCGAGCUGGGUUCAGAACGUCGUGAGACAGUUCGGUCCCUAUCUGCCGUGGGCGUAAGAAGAUUGAGGAGAGUUGACCCUAGUACGAGAGGACCGGGUUGAACCAGCCACUGGUGUAUCAGUUGUUCUGCCAAGAGCAUCGCUGAGUAGCUAAGCUGGGAUGUGAUAAGAGCUGAAAGCAUCUAAGCUCGAAGCCAACUCCAAGAUGAAUCUUCUUUUAAGAGCUCUAGUAGACUACUAGUUUGAUAGGCUGGGUGUGUAAUGGAUGAGAGUCCUUUAGCUGACCAGUACUAAUAGCUCGUUUGCUUAUCUU